rnacentral:rRNA from 1 species
UUUGACAACUCUAGAGAUAGAGUCUUCCCCUUCGGGGGACAAAGUGACAGGUGGUGCAUGGUUGUCGUCAGCUCGUGUCGUGAGAUGUUGGGUUAAGUCCCGCAACGAGCGCAACCCUUAAGCUUAGUUGCCAGCAUUAAGUUGGGCACUCUAAGUUGACUGCCGGUGACAAACCGGAGGAAGGUGGGGAUGACGUCAAAUCAUCAUGCCCCUUAUGAUUUGGGCUACACACAUGCUACAAUGGACAAUACAAAGGGCAGCUAAACCGUGAGGUCAUGCAAAUCCCAUAAAGUUGUUCUCAGUUCGGAUUGUAGUCUGCAACUCGACUACAUGAAGCUGGAAUCGCUAGUAAUCGUAGAUCAGCAUGCUACGGUGAAUACGUUCCCGGGUCUUGUACACACCGCCCGUCACACCACGAGAGUCUGUAACACCCGAAGCCGGUGGAGUAACCAUUUAUGGAGCUAGCCGUCGAAGGUGGGACAAAUGAUUGGGGUGAAGUCGUAACAAGGUAGCCGUAUCGGAAG